rnacentral:rRNA from 1 species
GACGAACGCUGGCGGCGUGCUUAACACAUGCAAGUCGAACGGAAAGGCCAUGCUUUUGUGGGGUGCUCGAGUGGCGAACGGGUGAGUAACACGUGAGUAACCUGCACUUGUCUUUGGGAUAACUUCAGGAGACUGGGGCUAUUACCGGAUAGGAGCUCCUGCUGCAUGGUGGGGGUUGGAAAGAUUCGGCGGUUGGGGCUGGACUCGAGGCUUAUGAGCUUGUUGGUGGGGUAGUGGCUUACCAAGGCUUUGACGGGUAGCCGGCCUGGGAGGGUGACCAGCCACAUUGCUCCUGAGGUACGGCCCAGACUCCUACGUGCGGCAGCAGUGGAGAAUAUUGCACAAUGGGCGGAAGCCUGAUGCAGCAACGCCGCGUGCGUAAUGACGGCCUUCGGGUGGUAAACCGCUUUCGCCUUUGCCGAAGCGUGAGUGACGGUAAUGGGUAAGGAAGCACCGGCUAACUACGUG